rnacentral:tRNA from 1 species
GCGCCCAUAGCUCAGCUGGAUAGAGCAUCUGCCUUCUAAGCAGAGGGUCGGGAGUUCGAGUCUUCCUGGGCGCGCCA